GGGCUUAAUAAAUAAACUAAAUAAUGUCUGAAAAAUCUAAAAAAAGUUUUCUGUGAGGGUUAGGUUUAGGGUUGAGUAUGGUGAUAGAAAAUAACAGCUCAAUCUAAAAACAAUUAAAGUCAGUAAAAAGGGAAGUCUCCACCAUGAAAGAAAAAGACAGGGAGAAAGUAAUCAGGCAGCGCAUUGUCAGAUGUCACAUGAAAAUCCAGCUCAAAGAAGUAACACUAUCAAAGUUCUGCUGAGCAACGCAAGCACAGCCACUUCUACCCAAAAAUUAAAGAUCAGCGAUUUGUUAGUGUACCAUUUAUGCCUUUCAACUCUAAACUUGUGUUUUAUUCAUAGAUUUUCUCAUUAUCCUGAUAAUACAGAACUGAUAAACAGAAGUUUGACUACAGGAAAAAUUAUCUUGGAAUUAACUUGUGUUGUCAGAUAUUCAGGUUAAUUGAAUAUGUCAACAAAAUGUUUAGUUAUAUCUGCUGUAUACAUUGGCCCGGCCGUUGUUUAAAGAAAGUUUCCCACUAUGUCAUCCUGUUUUCCAUAUUAUGUGAUUUAGAAAAGCAAGUUAAAUACACAUAUUAAACAAAUCGAUUGUGCUUCAUCGAGGAAACUAAAGUACAUGUGAUGGAUGAAAAAGUGUUGGGGAAGGAAUAUUGAAGAUAUGACUGAGAUUGUCAUAGAUACACAUGAUACUCCACAAUAAUUUCUUACUGACACUAUCCAUUUGUGUAUUUGUGCGAGCAUGCCUUUGGCACAACCUGGGUGAUGUUGUCAGUUUGUAAUUAUCAGUGAGGAUAGUUUAUGAUAGUUGUGUCAGAUGAAUACAAUGCAGAUGUAACAGACACUCUUCAGAAAACACAACAGAGAAUAAGUCUGUAACAGUUACAGUGGUAGGAAAGAGGAAGGACUGGCUAUUAGAGAGUGUAUUUAGCUAUAGUUUGGGGACAAAAUCAUCCCUGAACGUGAGCUGCGGCUGGAGCAAAGAAGACCUGAAGACCGGCAGGCUUUUUGGAGCUUGAUCACACGAGGGGGCUGCGACUGUGUCUGCGACCCCGGAGCCCACACCGAAUAUCUCACUGGUUACUCUGGUUAAAAUGGGCCCUGCUGAAGAUCUAGAGGACUACCUUGAUCUGUUUGAGAAGACAGCUGAGGUGUGGAAAUGGCCGCUUGACCAGUGGGUGGCCCGCUACUGCCAUUGCUGUCCGGGGAAGCACAAGUUGCGGUCCAACAACUCCCCGCCAAUAACCUAAAGAGAGUCAUAAUGCAACAGGUCGGUCAUAGUCCAGAACAGAGUCACCAAUGCUUCUGUUCCCUGAGACUGGGAAGGCACGGCCGGCCGUUCGCCUUUGCGCAGCACCUCCGAGACGCCUGCAGGAAAUGGUUGCUGGCUGAGGGGACCCGUGGCGCCCAGGACAUCAUAGAUCUGAUGACACUGGAGAAGGGGGGGGCAGGCUGGAUGUUGCCGCCUGAGUCAGGCAGUGGGGGUAUGUGGUGAUGGGGGCAUGGUCAUGUGUCUGUUUGCGGGAGAGAGGGAGUGGUAUGGCUCGUCAAGCUGGUUUACAUGAUUUCUAACAGAUGUUUCUUGUUACAGUGAUAGUGGGGAGAGAACUCAAAAGCAGCCAAAACACGCCAGAGAGCUGAGAGAGAACGACACAAGAGUGCAGCUACUGGUGUGCCUUAUUGUGUGUUUUAUUGUUUUAUUGUGAAGCUUAAGAUUUCGAGAAGUUUGUUAACUGAGAGUUUUUGUUACAUUGAACUGACUGAAACAAGAAAAGCACUGAGAAGGUUGCAUUCAGAUAUACUGAAGGCAGAAAAUAAAAGCCUACCUGAAGCGUGCCACUGCUUCCCUGUCUCCUCCUUCCAUACCUGAAACUUUAACGUUUGUUACACAGAGCAAAUACUGUUUUGUAAAAUAUCUAAAGAUGCAAAGAGUUUUUUAAGGUUCCCAUGUAGAUGGCCAAGUAAAUGUGUGCACUCAAUGGUUCAUGAGGCUUUAUGUGCUUAUUGAACCAUGAGACCGUAUUGACUGCCACACUGCACUCUGUAGCCAUUGCCCCAUUAAUUUAAUUAGUGGAGUUGACCACUAUCUAGUCUGGGAUAUUUAAAAUCUAAUGAAAAUUCAGUUCUAAUGAGAUUUUAAGAUUUAAUUAAUGUUAAUAAAUGCAAUCAAAUUACUUUUCUCCCAUGUGCAUUCCUUAAUAAAUACCUAGUCAUUGUAAAGGCCCCAACAUUCUUACAGAGAAGUUCUUCUUCAUUCUUUGUUCAGAUGUAAGUUCGAAAACAGCUGAGCUUAAGACACCCACCACCAGAAAUACAUUUAAAUAUGAGGACGCUCAAAACUAUCAACUAAUAUGACAUCAAAAUGUGUUAUCAAUGACUUCAUGCCUCAUUCUAUGAGUAGAAUUCACACGAGAUCAGUACAAGCUGUUUUAACUACUCAAUGAUGAUUUCAAUUAAUAUAUAUAUAUAUACAGUAUAUGCAGUGGAUAAUGUAUAAUUUGUAAUGUUUACAUUGUGCAUUCAUGACGCUAAUGCACGUUAAACAUGGCCAUAAAAUGCAUUGAUUACACUCUGUUAUUGUAAUUUAUGAUAAAACUGAUCAUGUGUGUGUGUUCAUGUUGACUGAUCUUGAUUGACUGAACAACCUAAACAGAAUUAGCUGUCGGCCUCAAAUUAGGUGGAGCUCCAGGUCACACCUACCGAUGAGGCAGUAAGAAGGUAUUUAGCAGCCGGUAAGAAGUUUUCCUGAAAGUUGGUCCGGCAAGCUGUUACAAAAACCCCUUCACUUUGGCCAGAUUUUAUUCUAACUGAUGUUACACCCGUUCGUUUGCAGGGGCCUUUACUUUGAAAAAACAAAAACAAAACAAACAACAGUAAUAUUUUAACAACUACUUAAUUACCUUCAUUUUUCAUCAUCUUUGGGGAUCAUCUCAUGUCUUAACCCAUUAUUGUGGAGAUUCCAACCUGGUCUCAUAAAAUCACAUGACAAUACAUACAUUUUUGCAAAAUGAUUUUUACUUGGCUCAUUGUACAUAUCAUAGCAGUUUCCUGGUGAAAAGAACACUAGAGGCACUACAAUGACUUUUUUUCCCUUUCACACAAAUCAAGAGUAAAAGGGCAGAUUAUCAGUUCAUAAAAACAUACUUUUCGUCCUGUUCCACACACAAUGCCAUCUUGUGACAUCUAAAUACUUUUACUAUAGUGCAUGACUUUUUUAAUUUUGUUUGUUUGUUUGGCUAAAUCAUGGCCUGUUGUUUGGUCAAUGCCAGCUUACUGGUAGCAAACUUGAUGUUUCUGAUGUUGAGAAUCUUGAUGUUGGCUGUUCAUCCCCAAGUAUUUUAAACCUUUGUUUAUGUUUGCCUCUCGAAGCUGUUACAGCAUUGUAAAUCACCUGCUCUCUCUCUCUCUCUCUCUCUCUCUCUCUCUCUCUCUCUCUCUCUCUCUCUCUUUUUUCUUUUUUCUUUUUUGCUUAUCAACUGUAUCUGUCGUGUAACUGCAUUGCCGGCUUCGGCAUGGUCUGACCAGCCACCUUGCUGUUCUGGAGCUGGGUGCUUGAGACAGGGAGACAGGCUUCAUCUCUGUAUCUGGUGGUGGUUUGUUUCACUGCAUGCUGUGCUCUUUGCCAUUUUUUUGGUACUCAAGUUUGUAUGCGUGUGAGCACGUGAGAUUUGUGGUGUUUUCCAGGACAGAUAGUGUCUCCUAUUAGCCACUCCCUGCUGGUAAGCCACAGCUCUCUUUAGUUUUGUGGGUUUCAACUGAAUGUGUUUUACUGCAGAUUUGAAAAGCCCAGUCUCACACCCCUCUCCCACUCUGAUCUUCAAACAACAAGUGAGUUACUGUACAACCCUUACUGUACAUCCCAAGAAACCUCAGAAAAACAGCUGAUUUAAAAACAGACUUCAGACGCUUUCAUUGUGUCUAACUCCCGCAAGCGAGUUCCAAUUAGAAGUGAUCGUCCCUAUGCCCUAUUCCCCUCAAAUACAAUUACCUUUCAGCCACACUUAAAAAUCCAUACAUUUCAUUACAUACAGUAGAUAAAAAAAUAUCAAACCAAGUAGAAUUUACAAACAAAUUAUGGUAGACAUUUUCUCAGAGUUAACUUCAAUUUUUCUGAGCCAUUUUAGGUGUCAGAGUAACCACAGGUAGAGUACAUCACAUUAUCCAUGGACAUGUUCCACUAAGAUUGACAACCAGAAAGUUUACAAAUGUAUUGCUCUUCAUUUUGAACAGUACAUUUUUAUUGUUAUUAUUUUUUAACCUAACAAAAGUAAAUGUCAUGUGGUUUGAUAUUUUAUUAUCUAAUGCAAUGACAUUUAUUAUUUUUUAUAAAUUAAGAUCCAUAUACUAAGGGGCCACUGUAUGCACCAUCUAUAAAUAUUACACUUUUUCCACUGUGUAAAAGAACCAGUCACAUAUUUAAAAAAAAACAAAAAACAAAAAAAACAAAUCACUAUUCAGAGUGAUAACUUGGCCUUUAGCUAUUUCUUUUAUCCAAAAUGACUUCAGGUACAGCUAUUACAAUGCUCCCCUGGAGCAACCCAUAGUUAAAAGCAUGGCUUCACAAUGGUGAAACUUUCUGUAUUUUCCUUGCAGGGUUUGAUCCUACAUUUCCUUUACCUGCCAGGCUUUUAAAAACUAGACUGCACUACCCAAAGUGAAAUAGUAAGAAGUUGUUACAUUAAAUAUCAUCCUGUCUAAUAAAUGUAUGGAUGCAAACUACCCUAAUUGAUAUCCUUUGGACAUGCUUCUGAAAAAAAGAAGAAAAAAAAAAUGGCAGUGAUUUAAAAGUGCCAAGAUAUGGAGUGAAGAUACGGUAUGAUCAUUUUCAAAGUGGAAAAUAGGGUUGUGCUCAAGGAAUUUGGUAAAACAUGAGCCUAGCCAUCUGCAUUUCUUGUACAACUUUUUUUUUUAAAGGCAUGGAGAUAAGAACAAAAUUCUUGACCUUUUUCAGUUUGAGCUCCAGUAAAAUGUAUAGAUAUACAUCCUGACAAUGACUAUUUGCAUAUGUAACAGUUCAACAUUGUUUUUUGAAAGAAGUGUAUCAUAUUUCAGUAUUUCAGUUUUUACUAUAGUAGUUAUAUACAGUAUAAAGUGGGUUAUAUACUGUUUGUUGUGUAUUUGUACUGUCAAUUAUUUUUUCAAUCCAGAACUUGAUUAUCUAAGAUCACAGAUCUUGCCACACACCUACACUCGAGUACUUCACCUUUGAACCACCAACCUCCUACACUCUGUCUACACUGAAUGUGAGUGGCGUAGAGACAUGUGCACAUGAGUUAAGUAGUCCCUAAAUGCUUGACUAUGUCCAUUCCUCCAAAUAUAAUAAAAUGCAGUAAAAAUACAAAAUUGGUAAUUUUUUUAUGUAAACAUUAGGUGCAACAUUCCAGCAUGGUCAGUUUAGAAAGAAAUGAUUAAAGAACAAUUUAAGAGAUUUAAUUAUUUCUUUACAAACAAACAAAAUAGAAAUAAAUUAAUUAAAAAUUAAAAGGCAAUGAAAGAAUGUAAAAUUUAGGCUACAUUCUUUCAUUGUACCGGGUUUCCACAAUUCUCAAGUGCGGUGCCUAAUCGCACAAAUGCUAACUGAAAUGCAAACAUGUCAUGCCUUUGAUUAAAACGUUUUUCAUAUGAAUAUUUUCAUGCUUGGUACCUAAGUCCUCAUUAUGGGUUUUGCAUUAGCAUUUCAUCUUUGCGAUUGUGGCUUUUUUUAAAAUUUUAUUUUAAAUACAAAAUGGAAGAAAAAAAAAUAUAUGUGCACACACACAUAAACAAACACACAAACACAAACAAAAGUGAAAUGUUUUGCAUGAUCGCCUCCAGAGCCUGCAGUGACUCCAAAUUCUUUUAGGUUGAGUAUAUUCUGCUUGACCUUGUAGUGAAUGAAGCACACACACUCGCAGAUACUUUUCAGAGGCCAUAGUGUUAAUAUGAGAGUACGCUUGUCCGUGAACUCUUCAGCUCUCUUACUGUCUCCAUAGCAACGUGACUACAGAGGAUAUACUUGAUUCUUCAUAAAUGCAAUUCCAGGAUAUGCAAUAAAUAUCACACUCACUCACAAGCACAAACCUACAUAUGCACAUACCUGUACACGUGUUUGCAUGCCUCUACUCAUAUACUGUAUGUAUUGGUCUUAGCGCUUUUCUUAGAUUAACUCACAAGAGAAUGAAGAUGUGCUUUAAUUGUUAGUACAGAAAUUGCAGCCCUGAUUAUUUUAUGUAUUCUUAAUUGUAUGCUUUUGUACUUGAGUGUUUAAGUAUAUAUGGAAUGUACAGUAUGUGUUGUGUGAGUAUAUCAGCUUCUUAAUUCUUUUGAGGUUCUUUGUCUGCACUGCACUUUGAUUAAACGAUGAAAAAUGUGCCAUAA